UUUUAAAACAAAUAAAAUAUUUUAAUAAAUUAAUAAUUUUUUUUAAAGAAAAUUUAAAAGGAGACUGCAGGUACCAAAAGGGAUAUUAUUUUAUUUAAUAUAAUAACGUUUUCAAUUAUUGAUUUAUUUAAUCAAUUAAUAUAAAUUUAUCUAGCGAUUUAUAUCGUUAUCUAAGGGUAUUUUUGACAUUAUACAUAUAUAAAAGGGAUACUUCCAAUUAAGGUAUAAACUUUUCAAAUUUUUAUAAUGAGAUGACAAAAGUUAUAAAUUGUUCAAUUAAGGGACAAUCAUUAGUUAAUUAGAGUUAGAUUUAACAUUUAAUAAAUGUAAACAUGUAAUUGAACAAUUUAGAUUAUUAUUUUUUACAAAAUAAAUAAUAAGAAAUCCAAAAAUUAUCAAAUUAAAAAAAUAAAAAUAAAAAUAAAUAAAAAUAAAAAUAAAAGCCUACUUUCUUUCAUUUUUUUUAAAUUUUCUUUUAGUCUAUAAAUUAAAAAAAAAAAUUCAACUUCCAUUAAAAAAAAAAAAAAUGUAGCUGAUGUCCUAAACCAAUAUCUGGAGCUUUUCAAUGACCUCUCGAUGGCUGAAGUCAUGUGGAGUUAAAAGCUGCAAAGCUCUAGAGUUCUUGAGCUUUCUCAGGUUUGACUAUCUGACAAACAUUAGUUUAGAACCCAGUAUCUUGUAUUCUUAAAUAAAUGUAGCUGAUUUCCUAAACCAAUGUUUCAUGGAACCGUAUGGACUAACUUUGGUACCAGCUGGGGCAGAGUGAAGAGACCCUCUGCUUCUGGGAGAUUUUCGAACCGCCUGCCAAUGAAGAUUCUCAAAGGUUUCAUAUCUUGACAGCCAUCUAUCUCAAAGGCCAACUAAAGAUGGAGGCACUAAAAGAAGGCUAAAUGCAAGAAAAAAAAUAGCUAAGUUUCUUCAAGAUACUAAUAAAGAAAUGGCAAAAGAAGUCAUAAACUCAAGAAAUGGAGACGACGGAAGAUCUGGAUGAGUUUAUGAACAAGGUUAGGCCUGAUGCCGAUCUAUUGAACGAUGAAAUUUAAGACUAUGCCACUUUGGGAAGAUGUUCAUUGAUGAUUAUCUUUCGGAGAUCAUUAGCAGGUUGAUUUUGUAAAAGCAUUCCUCAAUUAUUUGGUGUUAUGCUGGCCAUUUAAUUUAUUCCUUUGAGGAGUCACUUUCAGAUGCAGAGCUUCAACUAGCCUGUAGAGAUGGAGGGUUACUUGGUAAGGGAAUUCUUGUUUGUUAAAAAUAACAGUUGGGAGAUGCUGAAGUUAUUAUAGGAACAUAUAAAAACAUUCUUCAGAAUUGCAUAAGUUAGAAUGUAUUAUUUUCCAGGCUUAGUUAGAGAGACCAUGAACCUGA